GUUCCUGUAGCUUAAACUCUAAAGCAUAACACUGAAAAUGUUAACAUGGGCAACCAAGCCCCAAGCAACA
rnacentral:tRNA from 2 species